ACCCCGGUAGCUUAUUAAGAGUGUGAUAUUGAAGAUAUCAAGGAGGUGGCUACACCCCUGGGUA
rnacentral:tRNA from 1 species